GGAGGUGCUGUCGCUCAGUGGCAGAGCAUCGGCUUGGUCCCGGGUUCAAUCCCCGCCAUCUCCA